GCCGCCCCUACCCUCCAGUGUCUUAUGUCCAUUGGUUAUGCUUCUAUGCAUGCAUACAAGUCCUUCGGUUGAUCUCUUACCCCCAUCCCUCCUGCCCCCCAACCCUCCCCGGCCUUCCUGCUCCAUCUUUAUUAACCACACUCAUUGGAACUUCUUUUGUAUUUGGAGACACGAUAAUUUAGCAUUUGAAUUAUUUUCUACCAUAAGUGUUUUUCUUGUGUUUUUUUUUUUCUUUUUAAUUUAUCUUUAUUGUUUAAAGUAUUACAGAUGUCCCCUCUCCCUCCCCCGCAUUGACCCUCUCCACUCUGCACCUGCCCCACCCCCCACCUUCACCACAUUAUUGUCUGUGUCCAUGGGUUAUGCAUAUAUGUGUUUUUUUCCUCCUCAGAUUGUCAACUCCUUGGAAGAAACAUCACUUCUUAGACUGUCUUUGUAUUUCUUGCUCUUAUUGGUAAAGUAGAUGUCAAAAAUAACUAUGGUGCUGUAUGAAAUGGCUUAAGCCCUGCAGGAAUGGAAUAAAUCUAAUUAUCGCCAACUUUCCUCUUCGCUAUAGCAACACUAUAGCAUUGUUGCUAUAAUGUUGGUGUUAGAUUGUUGAUAAGGUGUGUGACUAUGAAACAGAUUAUAAGGUGAGCAAACAGGUAAUGCCUUGUGACUUUUUAAACAUUAUUAGGGUGUUUUCAAGGGAAAAUUAUUUUAGACAACUAUGACUAAUACCCUUCAACUCUGCAAAUAAUUUAAUUGCUGAUUAUUAGUGCAUCCAUUAAAUGAAUAUUUGGUUUCAAACGUAUUCUGACCAACCUCGUGAUAAACAAGCUAUUCCAACUAGAUGAAAAUUGAUAAUAUAUCAGGUUCCAAUUGACCAGAAGGCAAUCUUGUGGCUUGAUUUCAGGUAAGUAAUGCUCUGAGUUUCGUUCAAUUAAGUUCUCAUCUCCACUUCCCAGUUAUCUUGUUUUUUGUUUUGCUUCAUUUUGUCAUUUAAAUUCUGCUGUUGCAGCUUGUGGUAAGUGCAUCAUUUCAUGGCAUUCAAUUAGAGAAUCCUAGAUAAGCAUGACUUGGCCUGCCUACAUAAAAAUGUUCCUCAAAAUCUAGUUUGAGUCCUUUCCUAUCUGCAACUAAGCCCACCAGAGCUUCCUGGAUUAACUUGUGGGCCAUAACAUAACAAAGAAGGGCUUUACUCUCCAUUACUAAAUCUGGUCUCUACUUUGAAGUUAACUAAAUUCUGUCUUUGGUUAGAUUCCUCACUGCAGUGUUAAACUAAUCAACAUGAAACUUUAUUUUUUUUUACCAUACCAGUGUUCAGGUGACAAAACCUGACAAUUAUCUUCACGGUGACUAUUAAAAAAAUAUAUGUAUAUAUGUUUAUAUAUAUAUAUAUAUAAUCAUGAGAGCUAUGUGUGAUUGAAAGAAUUUGUUACAUGAAAACUCAGCAUUUUUUUUUGUAAACCAGCAAUCUUUAUCUAUUCCUCUUAGUGCAUAUCACCCAUGAAAGCAUUUGGAGCUAUAGAAAUGGUAAUAUUCUUGAAUAUAAAGGUAAAAAGGUUAAUGCUAUUUGAAAAUCAAAGACAUUUGAAUGAUGAUAUAUAUGAAAGGAAUGGAAAACUAAGAAGCACAUAUAAACUUCUAGGUAAAAAUGUUAGAUUACAUACAUCAAAUUUUGUAGCUUCCUAAAACCGAACUGAAAUGAAAGGGUUUCCCUACCACUGCCACUUACAAGGCAUAAACCUGUGAGGAGCACAGAAAAAUAGAAACACCAACAGAUUUGUGGGACCUGGAAAGAGCUAGAUAGAAGAGGCAAAAACUGAGCAGAAUUGAAAAAGCAGAAUCCUAGAAUAGUAGUGGAGAAAACCAGGAAAUAACCUAAUUCGAACUCCCACAGAUAUCCCAAAAGAUCUCAAGAAUUUGUAGCAUCAAGUACUUCUAGAAGUGGAGACAAACUACAAUUUUUUAGAACAACUUGUCUAAGAAGUUUUUAAUACCUUAGUUUUCCUCCCUCUUCCCCCUCCCUGCCACCUAUCCCACCAACACACUCCAACACAUACACACUGUGACUAGGGAAUCAUCAACUAGUCUCCACUCCAACAGAAGAAUAAAAAUUGAUAUGCCUAUUCUUUGGAAAGGGUAAAGACAGAGGGUCUCUAAAUUAGCAGAUGACAGGUUCAACUGAAGGCAGGAGUGCCAAACAGAAAAUAGGAUUGAAUGAAUGUGCAUAUUAGUUGCUGGGACCCAUUUCUCUAAUUUUCCGAAUUUAGUUCCUCAAAUGCUGAAACAAAGCCUUUAUCUUCCUGGUAGGAGGCUGGAAAAGUCUUCAGAAUGGACCAUUCCAAGAGGAAAGAUCUAAUUAGACUGAAAAUCCCAAGUCCUCCAAUAAUAUGGCCCAGUCAGAACACUCCUAGAAACUCACUGAUGAUUAGUCUCACGCAUAUGUUCUGAGCUUCCAAUCUGUGAUCACUAAAUAUUAAAUAUUAACAGAUAUCCAAGAAUUACCAGAUAUCCGAGGGAACCAUCUAAAAUGAAACAGGAAACAGAGAAAAGCAACUUGGAGAACAAAGACUACGCAAGGUGGGUAAGAUGUUUUUUAAAGCUAGUAAUAGCUUCAGAGAUAGAGGAAAGGUAUUACAGCUAUGAAACAAACAGGAUGCUUUAAAUAUGCAGAAAACAAAUUAAAAUUGAAAAUAUGAGCAGCAAUGAAAGAAUCAAAGGUAACAGAGAAGUGCAAAAGAAGAAAAGAAAAUUAGCAUUCCAGUUGAAGAGGUCCAUUAUUUAAACAGAAGUUCCAGAAAGGAGAAUAGAAAAAAAAAAUGAGAGUAUAAAAAGAAAUUAAGAAAAUAAUUUAUAGAAUUCUUUCAAACCAAAGGACAUGAAUUUCAAAGAAGGUUUUGGGAUGUCCUAACAAACCAAUGUAAAUAGACCAACAUCAGUAUGAAGUUUCAAAUCCUGGGACCUGAAAGAAGUUCAAAUAACUCCCAGAGAGAAAAAAUAGUCAUACAUAAAGGAAGCUCAAUUGCUUCACACUUUUCAAUAGUGACACCGAGAUCUAGAAGACAGUGGAGAAAUACCUAUAGAAUUCUCAAGAAAAAUGAUGUUUAAUCUGUAAUUUUAUACCCAGCCACAUUAUGUCAACCAAGUGUGAGGAAAGAAUAAGACUCUUUUUUUUUUUUUUUUUACAUGCAAGGUCUCAAAAUUUUUACUUUUUUUACCUCUCACAAAGCUACUGAAGCCUGCACUUCACCAGAAUGAGGGAAUAAAUCAAGAAAGAGAAAGACAUUGGUUAAUGGAGAUGGAACCCUGCACAGAUGAGAGGUGAAGCUGAAUCUUCAGGAUAAUGGUCAGAGCAGAAUAAAGAAGACUGUGUACUCUCAGAAUCAAGGGCAACCAGUUCAGAAGAAUCUUCUUUAAGAUUAUGAAAUUGAUGGAAUACCUGAUACAUCUGAAUGUCUUUCAGGACGAUUUAGACUGCAGUUGGCAAACUGUAGCCCAAAGUCCAGAACUAACCCAAGGCCUGAAACUUCCUGCCUAGCUCUCUUAAAAAUGACACAAAACAAUAAACGAAAAACUAGCACAACCACAAUGAUUUCCUGUUAAGCACAAAAGGCUUUGCAAAGGUAAAUAUUGUUGCAAAUGUAAGUAUUGUUGAAAAUGUUAGCGAUUCCUCUUUGAGUUUUAAUUGCCUCUGGGUUCUGAAUUCCCUUGCACUUAACCUUCUCCAGGUGAAUUAGCCAGGAGCGCCUCAGCGACCUGUCUUCUUUUGCCUUUCACAAGGCGUAUAGGAGGUGGUGGACAGCCAGAGGUUUUAUAGGAUUGCAGUACAAGAUUACCUUGGUCAUCACUGUAAUAGCAACUCAGGAAAGUCUCUAGUUGCCUAACCUGCUUCCCCCACAAUACUUCACAAAUUCUACAGAAACAGAAAUAGAAGUUUUAAUUACCUACAUUUAUAACUGUAGCAUCCUUGGAGAUUCAUGCUGGAUGUCUUAAAUGCUGUUUUGGUCACUGUAAAAAUAUCUACCAAAUGAGCAGGUUAUUACAAAAUGGAAAGGGCCAAUAGAACCACAGAGAUUGUCUCCCAUACUGUUAUGAUGUUAUGGUCAUAAGGAAACCCCUCUAAUGUGUGAAAUGUUUGCUGUGUGGAGACCCCAAUACUCUGUAACUUCCAAAAUGUAAUAAACAUGGUGAACGUCCCAAUAUCUUGAUGUAAACGCCCUAAGCCCCUAAAGUGUAAACGCCCUGCUCCUAGCAUAAGGCACACCAUCUGGCCCACACCGAUAAGACACAAGUUGUUUACUACCGGCUAUAUAAGCACCCGACUGUCUUCAGUCGAGGUCUCCUGCCUGAUGAGAGGAGGACUCCAUGUCGCUCCGUGAGGUGAGCCCCUGACUGACUGCUCUGCUGUGCGAGCCUGAACCAACUGCGGCCACAGGUCUGUCCCCGUCUUCCUGUGUGCACCGCGGGUGGCCUUUGCUGGAGCCUAGGACCCACUAGGAAUAGGUAAAUAAACCUUGUGUGAUUGCGUACUAAUUGUCUUGUGUGUUCAUGUGUUCCGGUUUGCCUCAACAGUCCCAGCCGUGGGCAAACUACGGCCCGCGGGCCGGAUCCGGCCCGUUUGAAAUGAAUAAAA